UACGUAGGGUGCGAGCGUUGUCCGGAAUUAUUGGGCGUAAAGGGCUCGUAGGCGGUUUGUCGCGUCGGGAGUGAAAUCCACUGGCUUAACUGGUGGCUUGCUUUCGAUACGGGCAGACUGGAGGUAUGCAGGGGAGAACGGAAUUCCUGGUGUAGCGGUGAAAUGCGCAGAUAUCAGGAGGAACACCGGUGGCGAAGGCGGUUCUCUGGGCAUGUCCUGACGCUGAAACGCGAAGGCGUGGGGAGCGAACAGG
rnacentral:rRNA from 1 species